rnacentral:rRNA from 1 species
UACGGAGGGUGCAAGCGUUAUCCGGAUUCACUGGGUUUAAAGGGUGCGUAGGUGGGAAUGUAAGUCAGUGGUGAAAUCUCCGUGCUUAACAUGGAAACUGCCAUUGAUACUAUGUUUCUUGAAUUUUUCUGGAGGUCAGCGGAAUAUGUCAUGUAGCGGUGAAAUGCUUAGAUAUGACAUAGAACACCAAAUUGCGAAAGGCAGCUGACUACAGGGACAUUGACACUGAGGCACGAAAGCGUGGGGAUCAAACAGGA